CAUUGCAACACCAUUCUACCCCCCAACCUUCCACACGUCAGGGAAGGGAACUCCAAGGUUUUUAGCCUUUAUUAGACGGGCUUCCAGGCUGGGCAUGGUUGCUUACACUUGUCAUCCCAGCACUGUGGGAAGCUGAGGCAGGCGGAUUGCUUGAGCAAUCCUGGAGUUCGAGACCAGCCUGGGCAACAUGGCAAAAUCCCAUCUUGACAAAAAAUGAGCCAGGCAGGAGGGCACAUGCCUGUAGUCCCAGCUACUCAGGAAGGAGGUUAAGGCAAGAGGCUCACUUGAGCCCAGGAGGUUGAGGCUGCGGUGAGCCGUGAUCGUGCCACUGCCCACCAGCCUGGGCAACAGAGCAAGACCUUCUCUCAAAAAAAAAAAAAAAUUAAAAUUUAAAAUAGACAGGGGCUUUCCGGACCCGAAAGGGAGCAGGGUUGGGGGCGCCUUUAGAGUCUUUUGCAACAUCCCAGAAAGCCUCCCAGAAACCCUUUCCCCAGCAAAGACCACCCAAGCUGACAAGAGCAACCAGCACCUUUAUUUGGGCUGGAAUGAGAUCAGCACCGAGGGGUCGCCAGGCACCUUGUGCAGAACAGAAGCUGAUGCGUGUGUCUGAGCCACAGAAGUUGCAGUAGCACGAUCACGGCUCACUGCAUCCUCAACCUCCCUAAGCUCAAGUGAUCCUCCUGCCUCAGCCUCCCAAGUAGCUGGGACUGGAGGCGUGCACCACCGUGCCAGGCUAAUUUUUGUAUUUUUUUGUAGAGACGGGGUUUUGCCAUGUUUCCCAGGCUGGUCUGGAACUCCUGGGCUCAAGUAAUCCACACACCUCUAACUUCCAAAGUACUGGGAUUACAGAUGUGAGCCACCGUGCCCGGCCUAUGCUGGACUUUUAAUCAACACUGAUUAAAAAAAAAAAAAAAAACCUGGCUGAGUGCGGUGGUUCACGUCUGUAAUCCCAGCACUUUGGGAGGCUGAGGUGGGCGGAUCACCUAAGGUCAGGAGUUCGAGACCAGCCUGGCUAACAUGGUGAAACCCCGUUUGUACUAAAAAUACAAAAAAUUAGCCCAGCGUCAUGACACACACCUAUAAUCCCAGCUACUUGGGAGGCUGAGGCAGGAGAAUCGCUUGAACCCAGGAGGUGGAAGUUGCAGUGAGCCGAGAUUGCGCCAUUGUACUCCAGCUUGGGCAACAAGAGCGAAACUCCGUCUCAAAAUACAAAAAAAAACAAAAAAACCCAGCCUCACGGAGCUUACAUGGUGGGGCGGGGGGAUAAACAGAAAAUCUGCAAAGCGUAAACCAUGGGAGCAAUUGUAUUUAUUUUUAGGAGAUUGCAACAUUAUUUAGGUGAUGACCAGAAGGAGGCCUUAGUUUUAAAGGCCUGAAGGGGCAGCAGGGAACAGCAUUGCAGGCAGAGAGAAGAGCAGCUGCAAAGCCCCUGAGGUCACCUGCCAGGGUAUCGGAGGAAGGUCAGGGGAAGUGAGAGAUGAGAUGGAGAUGGACAGGGAAGAUGGUACAUGGCCAGAUAAGGAUUUUGACUGUUGCUCAGAGUGAGCUUAGAGUCGGUGCAGUUCUGAGCAGAGGGUAACAGGAUCCAGCUUGUUUUAACAGGAUCCCUCUGGUUGCUGGCUUGAGGACAGACAAGGGUGGAGAGACAUAAGGAGGUUGUAAUAAUCCAGGCGACGCCUGUGGCGGCAGUGGGGUGGUGAGUCACCCACUCUUAGGUGAGUUGGCUGAAGCCAACAGAAUGUGCUGAUGUAAGCUGUGAGAAAAUGAGGAGCUGACUUUGAC
rnacentral:lncRNA from 1 species